UGGUACAUUAUAUCUGUAAAACCCUGCCGUACGGAGGACGUCUUAUGGUGAUAGGUUGUUUUUUUUUACAGGUUGUGGGAAUUAAAAUUCAUUAAAAGACAGGCUGAAUUGGUUAUUAUCACUUCCUGUUGUCAGUGUAACCAUGGAUGUAGAAACAACAAUCACUGGAUGAGUUUGAUACUGAAGGAAACUUAAAAACAUGAUUAUUCUUAGGCAACUUCUGCAGCUCCAAGAAGCAAUUUUCAUAUCCAUUGAACUACCCACUGGUUCUGUGUAUUUUUCCUGGAAAUGCUCCCCUCUCCCAGGUUUCCUGAAGUACCCGCUGCAUUCACUUGGUGAGGCCGCUGUUUCCUUAAUCACAGGUAACAGGUGGUUGUUGUUCUGGGUCACGUUUUGACUCAUUAGCUUCGAAAAGUCCGGUUAUAUUCUGGAGAUUUAAACUGCAGUGAAGUGAAGAUACUGUGUGAGGUGGGAGGAACAGGUGUGGUCAAAGCUACAGACUGUUGCAUGGACAAAACAGGACAUCUGAAGACAUCAGCUUGGACUCGAGGAAACUGUGGUGUCACCUCUUUGUCCUUGUACAUUAAAGAAGCUCUUAAAGACCAGGUGCACUAAAGAGGCCUUCAGGACUCAGAGUUGAAGCAGGAAACAGUUGGAGUGACAGAGAGAAGAGACGGACAUGAAGAUUUCCACAAGGUGUCACCACUUCAUCCAUGAGUCCAGAGACCAGGACCAGAUCCAGCACCAAGUCCUUCAGGUGAACUCACAGAAACCACUGGAUCCACUCGAGGUGAAGGAGGAGGAGAUGAAGAUGAAGAUGAUGUCAUCAGGCGUGAAGAGGUGGAGCUGAUGAAAGAAAACAACAGAGUGAUGAAGCUGUUGAUUAAAGACACUGACAGAAAAACCUCCAGCCUGUUGAUGGAAACACAACAAAC